rnacentral:rRNA from 1 species
CAGCAGCCGCGGUAAUACGUAGGUGGCAAGCGUUGUCCGGAAUUAUUGGGCGUAAAGGGCUCGCAGGCGGUUUCUUAAGUCUGAUGUGAAAGCCCCCGGCUCAACCGGGGAGGGUCAUUGGAAACUGGGAAACUUGAGUGCAGAAGAGGAGAGUGGAAUUCCACGUGUAGCGGUGAAAUGCGUAGAGAUGUGGAGGAACACCAGUGGCGAAGGCGACUCUCUGGUCUGUAACUGACGCUGAGGAGCGAAAGCGUGGGGAGCGAACAGGAUUAGAUACCCGGGUAGUCCCUGUCUCUUAUAC